rnacentral:lncRNA from 1 species
AUUGGUUGGGAUGGUGUAAAUGAGAAAUGGUUAGGCCUAUUUAUAGUUGAGGUUCAGGGACUAACUUGCAAAUGGCCUAAAAAAUUAGGGACCAAAAUUGCAAUUAUCCCAUUCAACUUUAAACAACUUGCCUACCAUUUUUUUCUUUCGGUGCCACUUGCACCUCUCAUUUUUUUGACUUUUCAACACCCCUUUUAAUUUGUCUUUUCAACA